rnacentral:tRNA from 1 species
GUGGCUCAGUGGUAGAGCACUUGCUUUGCAUGCAUAAGGCCCUGGGUUCAAUUCCUCAGC